CCUACGGGUGGCAGCAGUGGGGAAUAUUGCACAAUGGGGGAAACCCUGAUGCAGCGACGCCGCGUGAGUGAAGAAGCGUUUCGGCGCGUAAAGCUCUGUCAGCGGGGAAGAAACACGGUUCGCGAGAGCCGCGGACGGUACCCGACCAAGAAGCCCCGGCUAACUACGUGCCAGCAGCCGCGGUAAUACGUAGGGGGCAAGCGUUAUCCGGAUUCACUGGGUGUAAAGGGAGCGUAGACGGCGAGACAAGUCUGGAGUGAAAGGCCGGGGCCCAACCCCGGGACUGCUCUGGAAACUGCCUGGCUGGAGUACAGGAGAGGUAAGUGGAAUUCCUAGUGUAGCGGUGAAAUGCGUAGAUAUUAGGAGGAACACCAGUGGCGAAGGCGGCUUACUGGACUGUAACUGACGUUGAGGCUCGAAAGCGUGGGGAGCAAACAG
rnacentral:rRNA from 1 species